GACGAACGCUGGCGGCAGGCCUAACACAUGCAAGUCGAGCGGAGCGGCGGACGGGUGAGUAAUGCCUAGGAAUCUGCCUGGUAGUGGGGGAUAACGUCCGGAAACGGGCGCUAAUACCGCAUACUAUCAGAUGAGCCUAGGUCGGAUGAGCUAGUUGGUGGGUUAAAGGCCUACCAAGGCGACGAUCCGUAACUGGUCUGAUAGGAUGAUCAGUCACACUGUAACUGAGAAACGGUCCAGAUUCUGACGGGAGGCAGCAGUGGGGAAUAUUGGACAAUGGGCGAAAGCCUGAUCCAGCCAUGCGGGUUGUGUGAAGAAGGUCUUCGGAUUGUAAAGCACUUUAAGUUGGGAGGCGUUACCAACAGAAUAAGCACCGGCUAACUUCGUGCCAGCAGCCGCGGUAAUUC
rnacentral:rRNA from 1 species